UAGGGAAUCUUCGGCAAUGGGGGGAACCCUGACCGAGCAACGCCGCGUGAGUGAAGAAGGUUUUCGGAUCGUAAAGCUCUGUUGUUAAGGAAGAACGAGUGUGAGAAUGGAAAGUUCAUACUGUGACGGUACUUAACCAGAAAGGGACGGCUAACUACGUGCCAGCAGCCGCGGUAAUACGUAGGUCCCGAGCGUUGUCCGGAUUUAUUGGGCGUAAAGCGAGCGCAGGCGGUUAGAUAAGUCUGAAGUUAAAGGCAGUGGCUCAACCAUUGUAGGCUUUGGAAACUGUUUAACUUGAGUGCAGAAGGGGAGAGUGGAAUUCCAUGUGUAGCGGUGAAAUGCGUAGAUAUAUGGAGGAACACCGGUGGCGAAAGCGGCUCUCUGGUCUGUAACUGACACUGAGGCUCGAAAGCGUGGGGAGCGAACAGGAUUAGAUACCCUGGUAGUCCACGCCGUAACGAUGAGUGCUAGGUGUUAGGUCCUUUCCGGGACUUAGUGCCGCAGCUAACGCAUUAAGCACUCCGCCUGGGGAGUACGACCGCAAGGUUG
rnacentral:rRNA from 1 species